UUUUGGCUACUGAAGUGGGAGAAAUUGUGAAUUUCCUUAGGUAGAAUGAAGCUAAGCUCUUAAACAUCGAGACGCAUUUUGGUGUGACGAUUGAAAUUUCAUUAGGAACUCUAAAACUAAGCAUGCUCUAGCAGGAGCCCUCGUUAUUUAAGUUAGUAUUACUUUAGCCUUUGCAUUUGAAAUCCUCGAUCUUGGUACAACCGGAGGCAAGUUAUACAAUGUUUUUUUGCUUCAAGUAUAUUCAUUUGCAUAACUCAAUCUUUUCUACACGCUUAUUGCUUUCCAUGUGCCCAAUAGGUUGGCUUACGAAUUGAACAUCCCCAGGAACUAAUAAACAAGAUACAGUAUUCUUCGCUAGCUACCGAGGUUCAAUCAGGUCGUGGAAAAGUACCUGUAGCAGAUUACAAGGUGGUUAAAUAUAUCAAUGAAGGAUCUGAGAUUGUGAACUCUUGUUUGGAGGACCGAACUAGAAGCUGCUAUUCUUUCUGCAUGUGUCCUGGUGGUCAGGUUGUGCUAACUAGCACGAAUUCAUCUGAGCUCUGCAUCAAUGGCAUGUCAUUUUCUCGUCGGUCGUCGAGAUGGGCCAAUUCGGCUAUUGUUGUUAGUGUAUCUACGAAUGACUUUGCUCCCUUCACUGGUUAUGGGGCUCUUUGUGGUGUUGAAUUUCAGGUUCUUGUCCUCGUUCUUCUCCUCUUGUUAGUGUACACGUUGCAUUACUUCAGUGUUCUGUAUAAAAAAAGUGAAUUUUACAUACA